UAUCUUUUGCUGUUCCUCUCUUUGAUAUUUUUGUCAUAAAUGUAAUUAUGCUUAGGGAAUGUUAGGUUAUGCUUGUGAAGAUUCAUUCCUAAAUUGUUUGUUUUGGAUGUUCUUAAAGUCCAAUAGGAAUUGGAGGUUGAAAGUGAUUGAUUUUCGUUGCAGUUUCAGAGUUUAUUUGGUUAAAAUGAUGGUUUAACUGAGAUGUGAUUUUAUGUGAUUUGUGGAUCAAGCGAUGACUACAAACCAGAAUGCCAACUCAGAACCAUCUCAAGUACGGUCAGUUCUUGUUGUUUAGAGUGGUAUAGUAAUUGAAUUUAAUUAAAGUUUGGGGAUCUGAGGCAUAUGGACUGGAUUUGUUGCUAUUUACAAACGUUCAUAUAUUUUAUAUGGCCUUUCCCUUUUUUUGAUGCUGUAUUAGACAUGUAUGCUGGAGAUAAAUGUUUCUUUGGAUAAAACAUGCUCUUGAUUUUUCAGUUUAGCUACCCAUCUGAGUUGAGUUAUGUAAAACAUGCUAUGAAUACUGUUGAAUUUUAUUAGUUCCAAUGGUAUCUAUAUAUAUUAUUUAGUGAACUUUUAAAAAGAUGCAUCUCUUGUUACUUCUAUGAGGUUCAUGGCCACUCCAAAGUUGUAAUUUAUAAACUUUAUGCAAGAUUUGGUUGGAUAUCUUGGUAAAAACGGUGGUCUAUUCUCACACGGACAUCAGUGGUUUUCUUCAGAAGUAAUCCAAGUGCUGUUACUCAAAAAGGCAGUGAAGUGAACUUGACUCUUUGGUGGUACUGACCUCAACAAUUCAGGCAGUUCAAAUUAUUAAAUACAUGUUUGCUUGUCAUAGUUGUUUCCACGAGGGAAGUGAGUUUAGUUUACAUACUUCAUAGUGCUUUCUUUGGAUGAUUUCUAGUGUGAUUGUGAAAUCAGAAACUAGUGCUUCAUUACAUUAUCUUUAGGAACUAGUGCUUUGAUGGGAAUUAUUAGUGAAAGUUAAAUUAGCUUUCAAUUCUAUGAAUAACAUUUUAAUCAAGGGGGCUUGUGGGAAAAAAAAAUGAUAUUAGUUUUGAGUGGUCAAAGCAAUCACCAAUCAAGCAAAUGUGGUAAUGAAAGGAAGAAAUGAAAUUAGGAGCUUUUUUCUCCACUAUCUAUUA